UACGAGUUCUAGACUCGUCGAGUGUCGGU
rnacentral:sRNA from 1 species